CGCGUCUGAUUAGCUAGUUGGUGAGGUAAAGGCUCACCAAGGCGACGAUCAGUAGCUGGUCUGAGAGGAUGAUCAGCCACAUUGGGACUGAGACACGGCCCAAACUCCUACGGGAGGCAGCAGUGGGGAAUCUUGCGCAAUGGGCGAAAGCCUGACGCAGCCAUGCCGCGUGAAUGAUGAAGGUCUUAGGAUUGUAAAAUUCUUUCACCGGGGACGAUAAUGACGGUACCCGGAGAAGAAGCCCCGGCUAACUUCGUGCCAGCAGCCGCGGUAAUACGAAGGGGGCUAGCGUUGCUCGGAAUUACUGGGCGUAAAGGGAGCGUAGGCGGACAUUUAAGUCAGGGGUGAAAUCCCGGGGCUCAACCUCGGAAUUGCCUUUGAUACUGGGUGUCUUGAGUAUGAGAGAGGUGUGUGGAACUCCGAGUGUAGAGGUGAAAUU
rnacentral:rRNA from 1 species